UCACGUUUUGCAAGGACUGUUUAGGUAUUGCACAGCGUGUUUACAUCACAGAUAAUACACCCCUUGCACUGCAAAACAUUGUUAUUUUUUAAAUACUUUUUUCGCCGACAUAACUCACAAUGGCAGACGCCGCAGAAAGCAGUGGACAGGAGCCAUAGCAAAACGAGGGAAUUAAGAAGCGAAAAAAGUUGUCUGAGGUGUGGGAACACUUCACACUGAAAUCGCAGUAGUAUGCAAACAUUGCAAAGUGGCGCUCUAGUACCACAAUAGCACAGGUGCUGUAGCACUUGUCAAAAAAGCAUCCGAUUGAGGCACGUCCACAGGCGAGAAAAACAGCCCCCAAGCAUGAUGUUUCCACCCCCAUGCUUCAGAGUAGGUAUGGUGUUCUUGGGAUGCAACUCAGUAUUCUUCUUCCUCCAAACAAGAAGAGGUGAGUUUAUAACACAAUGUUCUAUUUUGGUUUCAUCUGACCACAUGACAUUCUCCCAAUCCUCUGCUGUAUCAUCCAUGUAUCCAUUUUGGUAUAAACUCAACUUGUCGUGUUUGGAGGAAGAGGAAUACUGAGUUGCAUCCCAAGAACACCAGACCUACUGUGAAGCAAGAGGGUGAAAUCAUCAUGCUUUGGGGCUGUUUUUCUGCUAAGGGGACAGGACGAUUGAUCCGUGUUAAGGAAAGAAUGAAUGGGGCCAUGUAUCGUGAGAUUUUGAGCCAAAACCUCCUUCCAUAAGUAAGAGCUUUGAAUGGUUGACCAAAUACUUAUUUUCCACCAUAACUUACGAAUAAAUUCUUUAAAAUUCCUACAA